ACCUUCUUGUUUAAGCUGUCUACUAAAAUUCCAGAAACUAGUAUCAUGUCUUAGCAUUUGUAAUAAAGCUAUCAGAGAAAAGCCAAGAAGAAAAAAGAACUGUACCAGAUAGAAAAAUUGAGUUGAACCUUUUUUUUUAGACGGAGUCUCACUCUGUCACCCAGGCUGGAGUGUAGUGGCGCAAUCUCA
rnacentral:snoRNA from 1 species